rnacentral:lncRNA from 1 species
UGUGUAAAUACCAUUGAAUUGAUAUAUUCUAUAUGGACAUGAUUUUACGAUUGGACUGAUUAUGGACCGAUUGGAAUUAGAGAUCACCAUGGACUAAACAAGCGCCAUAGUACAUGUGCAGUUCAUUGAUGUUGGAUGAUACUCGCUGUCGGUCAUUUAGUAACAAUUGAAUAAACUAAAAGUAUUUAAUUCUGUGAUAUUAAACUUCAUGUUUGACUUUCACCACUCCAAGAUAUGCUGUGUUAUAUUUGUAGUGUAUUGUGCUCAUGGCCAAGUCAAUAUUAUUGUAAAGUGAACAAAACUAUUGAUAUAGUCACAAAAUAUUGAUUUAUUAUUACAAAUAAAGUUGAACAGGACUUGGCUUCUAUGCGAUCUCAAAACUUUUUACGGUGGAGGAAUUGCGUAGAGGAUUGGCUUUUUUUACAUUUAAUGUUUUUGGUGGGAUAUAGAAUGAGGUGGUUAAGAGCAAGUAAUAAACUGGAAAAGAAAAAACGAUUAAGACUCAAGAGAUAAGAAAAGCAAUCCAUGACUUCUUAGUGCAUGAUGAACACAGCAGAUUAACGUCUGGAAAAAAAGACGAUCACAAGAAGGAAGAUCAAGAAGCAAAUUCGCUUUUUAAAUGACUCACUUUUGAAUUUGCUAAGAUGUUAUUAAUAUGUUUUCAUUCAAGUACGUCUACAGAAGCUGACCGUCUGUUCUGUGGACAAAUGUCAAAAAAAAUUGUACUGAAUUGGUGUACGUUUUUACUAUGUUUUGUUUAGGGAUCGAGGAGAACUCCAUUUUAAGUUUUUUUUCAUUUUUUUCUAUUCUUGACCUUAUUAAUAUUAUUAUAAUAAAGUCACAUUUUGCCUUCUGCAGACAACACAAUCUCACCGUGGACAUAAAAAAAAACAAAAAAAACGUGUUUUUUUUCCUAAAAUAUCCAAGACUGAUCUCUAGUGAUAUUAUUGUAAGAAUAUUAAUAUGGAACUUUAAAUAAAUACAACAUUUUAUAAAAAAUUGUGAAGUUUUAUUAUAAAUAUUUAGUAAUGUUCACGUUUUGUGUUUGACCCUUUGUAUCCAGUUUGGACCCGCUGUGCUUUUUAUUUCGUCCUCCCAUCUCUCGUAUGGUCUCCUUUCGUUUCUUUUGCCCACUGCCCCCCUCCAUUCUGUCACUCUUUUGGCCCACCCUAGAUCUUGCAGGCGAGCUAUGUUUCCGGCCCAGUUCCAUUUUAAUGCAAGAGCUUGUGCUAAGCCAUCUGCUGUUCUUUAAACAAUUACUCAGAAAUUGUAAUAUAGUAUUUUGAUAAUUUAAAAUCAUGAUGGCAUGUUAAUGGUUGAUAUUUAUUACAUAAAAUAAAAAGUAUUUAAGAUGUUAAAAGCAUUUCUUAAUCUGUGGUCACAAUAAUCUGCUCCUGUUUCCAUUUGGUUACCAAAAUAAAUUAACGGUUAUAUUUCAGAAAAUGGUUUAACUUACAUGCCGACAUCUGCAACGAGUGGGUUAGUGGUGUAUAAAGAAUAUACGUUUUCAUACAUCGAUAAGACUAAGAAGUAUUUGUGCUGUUCGAGGCGAAAACAGGGCAAAUGCGAUGCCAAGAUCCGACUGAACGACGAUGGAGAGGUCGUCCUCGCUAAAACUGAUCAUAAUCAUCCACCUCCGAAGUAUUAUAAAGCACCUAAUGGAUUGUAUACCGCGUGGAAUUGAUAUCAGAUGCUUACGGCAAGCCAAUGAUAGUUUACCAGGGAUAUACCUUUCAUGCAUCCCCAGGGAGGGGUAACCUGAUCUGUUCGAAGCGACGUCGGGGCAAAUGCCCAGCCAAACUGAAGGUCGAAGAUGAUGGAGUGACGAUAAUACAUGCUGACACUAAUCACAAUCACCCGCCCCCGAAAUUUCAUAGAACGACUACUGGGGAAUAUAUUAAAAUAUCAAAUUGAAGAUUUUAUUAGCCUGUAGGCGAGAUUCCGCCAUUGCACGCCAUUGUCGCACACAAAUGUUUCUUCUGGUCUAUUCGCUCCAUUAAACUAACAAAUUGUUUUGCAAUUAAGGUUUCACUGACUUGUCCAUUCCAAACAUUUUUAUUUAUUUAGUUUUUCUUUGUCGUGUAUUAUUGACACUGAUACUUGUUAUUACCGACUUCUUAUAUCUUCAAUUUAUGCAGAAGGUUUUGCGUGUAUUUCCGUCUGCAUAUCUCCUGUCACUUGGAUGAAUUAUUUUAUGGCGUACAUUUGCUCCAUUUGGUUGUUUAUAGACCCUUGUAUACAGUAUACUUAGUUAAACAAUCUUCAUAUGUUUGUAAUGUUAAGAGAGAGAUAGAAGUUUACUCUUCUUAUUUUAUUUUAUUACAGCAAAUACAAAUAACAGUUAUUUUAUUUUAAUUUCUUUUUAUACUAAUUAAGUACUAACUUACCUCAAGAAUGCAUACUUAUUUUAAGACAUAUAAAAUAAUACAUAUAUGUUUAUGGUCCACAGAAAGCGCGAGAUUUGUUCAUACAAAAGAACACAGGAAAACGGAUUGGUAUAAAGCACUUUUGAGGGUUGCGGUCAAUAAAAUAUACAACAAGGAAAUCAGUCUGAGACAAGCUUCGCUUACAUAUGAUAUACCAAAGAGUACGUUAUUCGAUAGACUCCAAAAAUUAAAGAAUAAACACAGAAAAAAUAAUUCUUAGCUAGUUAAUAAAUUAGUUGACUCAAAAAGAAUAGUGACGAAAUGGAUAUCUUUUAUGUGAAAAUUAAGUUUUGUAUUACCUACAUAUAUACACUCUUUUGCAAAAAAAGCGGGCACCUAUGCGAAAUCUUAGUUUUAAGGACUUUACGUGUAUUUCAAAAGGUUUUAAUGAUUGUAGUAUGUUGCUAGCAUCAAAAGGGUUAGCCAAGCAUGCGUGAGAGUGUAUUCUAAAUUUGAAUUUUGUACAAUUGCUAAGAAAUUGGUUAACCCUUGUUUUAGACUAAUUGCGGGCAGAAAGUAAGUCGGAAUUUUGAAAUGUUUUUGAAGUGAUUUUCAGAUAAAUGGUAAUGCAGUUUUAAUAAAUGAUUAUUGUACCUUUUUGUUAAAUCAUAACAUUUUUGAAAAACUAUGCGUAUUUGAUAAAAUUUUCACCUACUCUAAAUGGGCUAUACUGAUGAUUGAUGGCAAUGUUAAGAGGUUCGGUAUUUUAGUGUGAAGCAUUCUACUGUUUAGAUAUUGUACCCACGUGUUUUAAAAUAUCGCUUUUUCAUAAAUAAACACUAUUUAGAGGAGUAUCAGUACCUUGGGCUACGACAAAACCAAUUUAAAUUAAGCAGUGCCGAUCACAACUCGUCUCCUAUCGGACUUUGACAUUUAAAAACAAUAAAAUUUUGAGAUAAAUGUUAAAAUCAACCACAUGAAAAGUGAUGAGGAGGGUUAAAGCUAUCUAAACAGUUAAAUUAUUGCCGCGUUGAAGCUCUCGAUAACUGCAUAGGCAUCGGGUUACUAAACGAUGAUUUAGCUGAAAGGGAGUCAACAAUUCAAAAUUAUUGGCCAAACGUAUGUUUCUUAAGAAAUGAGCAGAUAGCCAAUUAUUGUUAUGAUUUAAGCAGGAUAGAGCUGUAGAUGCCAGAAAAUCUCUGUGCAGGCAAGUUUAUUUAAUAAAAUGUCCGUGGGAUGGAAACACGCUAUUUGAACGCUCAGACUCUUAGAUCUUCAGAGGUCUACGGAGUUUCCCAAGAGACGAGGUUGUUUAAAAAUCAGUGAUUAUGAAACCUUAAGACCACGUGCUCGCAGUCUAUGCGUUAUUUUCUGUAUUUUGUAGAAUUUCAGGACUUUAAAAAAUGUCAAAAUCUGAUAGGAGACGAGUUGUGAUCGGCACCGCUUACUUUAAAUUGGUUUUGUCGCAGCCCAAAGUACUGAUACUUCUCUAAAUAAUGUUUAUUUAUGAAAAAGCGAUAUUUUAAAACACGUGGGUACAAUAUCUAAACAGUAGAACGCUUUACACUAAAAUACCGAACCUCUUAACAUUGCCAUCAAUCAUCAGUAUAGCCCAUUUAGAGCAGGUGAAAAUUUUAUCAAAUACGCAUAGUUUUUCAAAAAUGUUUUGAUGUUACAAAAAGGUACAAUAAUCAUUAAUUAAAACUGCAUUAUCAUUUUUCUGAAAAUCACUUCAAAAACAUUUCAAAACACCGACUAACUCUCUGCCAGCAAUUAGUCCAAAACAAGGGUUAACCAAUUUCUUAGCAAUUGUACAAAAUUCAAAUUUAGAAUACACUCUCACGCAUGCUUGGCUAACCCCUUUUGAUGCUAGAAACAUACUACAAUCAUUAAAACCCUUUGUAAUACACGUAAAGUCCUUACAACUAAGAUUUCGCAUAGGUGCCCGCUUUUUUUGCAAAAGAGUUUAUUAAUUAUUUUUUAUGUGAAAAUUUAAAUUAAGUUUGAGCACAAAUUGUUUCGUUAGUGUUCGUAUUAGAGUAAAUCCUUGGUAAUAAAAAAAAAUAUUCUGUUUUUUAUUAAUAAAAAUAUAUUUUUUAAUAAAUAAAUUUUAAGUUAGAAAAUAAAUUACAAUAGAUUGAGGUUGGGGAUGAAAAAAAAUCUGUUCUUAUCAUUGAAUUUAUUGAGUAACUUUAGUGUCUCACUCUUUUGCGUGUGGGUGCGAAAGUCUAUGCUUUAAGCGAAAACUCAAAUUGCAAUCAAGAACAUAUUUUUGUACUUACAUUAAUUGUAUUAAAUAGGUUUAAGUGGGUACCAUAAUGCUGUUGGUUGUACAGUUACUUAAAGUCUAUUGGUGAUGUUUUUGUUAGUUUAAAAAUAAUUUUAAAAAAAAUUUAUUGGGAGUUUGAUAAAUAGUUCACGUAUUGUGUUUUCUUUAGAGUUAGUUUAAUCGUUUUGUUUUUUUCUUUAAAUAAAGGAAAUAUACCAAGAUGUUCAUAAAAAGCGUUUUAUUUUUUCUACAACCAAAAUGAUUAAAAAAAUAUGUCUCCUUCAAAAAAAGUAACUAAUGUUCUAUUUUCAGACUACCAAAUACUGCCUCUAGCUGGUGGGAAAUCGGUGGUACUUUUUGAAAACUACACUUUUUCAUACCACGUGAGGGGCAGGUCUCGCCUUCAGUGUUCCCAGAAGUUGAGCAAAAAAUGUGGUGCAUUUCUGCGAAUAGAUAGAGCUGGCAACAUCGUUUUUAGUAAUGCUGUCCAUAACCACUAUCCUCCGAGCUGCUUACUAACUGAUCAAGGGUACUACGUAGUAACUAAAGCCUAUGACUAGAAAAAAAAUACUUUGACGGAUUAAAAUUCAAAAUUAAAUACCAAAGAAUUUGUGAUUUUUGAUGACUUUUUUUGGAGUCAUGUUCUUCCAUAAAUGUUUAUUUUUAUCUUACCAAAUAAAUCAUGAACAUAUCUUGUCCUAUUUUGUUUAAUUUUUAUCGCUUGCCAAGUAACCAUAGGCCUUGCCUUAAAGUACAUCAGGUUGGUAUAUUUUAUUGAAUAAGCAUUCAUGUUUUGAAUGGAUAUUUUUAUAGGUAUCUGCAUGCCUUCCAUACUAAGUUAGGUACUUCAUUGAUUUUUUUGUGAUACAUAUUUUUUAUUGUUUUGUUUCAGCGACUUACCACGUCAUACCCUUAGCUAAGGGCAAAUCGGUGAUCCUUUACAAUAACUACACUUAUUCCUACCAUGUUAAAGGCAGGUCUUUACUUCGUUGUUCGCAAAAAAAUAGUGAAAAGUGCCGAGCGUUCAUAAAACUAGAUAAGUGUGGGAAUAUUGUGACUGCGGUGACGAACCAUAUGCAUCUACCCCCGAGGUGCGAGAAGUGUGUGGACGGGACUUACAGAAUCACGAAGUUGAGGAAGGCUUACGGAUUGUUUUAAAGAAAAACUUAAUAUGUAAGGCUGGAAACAGUGCUCGACCGACGGUCAGCGCUGACCCACGUCGGUCGACGUAGCUAUAACUGUGCAAGUAUGAACGCGCACACAGCUACGCUGACGGUACGCGCGUGAUUUUGUAUGUGAUUCGGUCUGGACGUACGGUCAGCACUGACCGUCGGCCGAGCACUGUUUCCAGCCUAAAAAUAAAAUUAUAUUUAGGGAAAUAGAGUACAAUAUACCCUACCCGCUAUACGGUUAUUUCCUUUCGUCUCAAUCUAUCCAGGAUGCGUGUGAGAAAUUUUAGCUAUAAGACCGCCCAUUGUGUCACAUAAACCUUUUUAAAAUAUUUUAGUUUUUUUGUUAUAUCAUUGUAAAGAAUAUAUCUAUUGUCUAUGUAUUUCAGUUUUGAUUACCUUUUACUGUUUUGUAUUGAAUAUUUACAUAAAUAAAUGAAUGAGUGUGAAGUGAAUGUUCAGUUUUAUUUUAUUUAUUUUAUAUCGAAUUCCUUCCAUUAGGUAUAACAUAUAGCUUUACCCUCGUCCUGCCGAUUGUGAUUUACAAAAUAUACUUCACGGUUCCUGCUCAGCUAAAAUAUUGUAAAGUUCAAGAUUCCGCCCACUGUCCUUCAAUAAUCACAUAUUCGAAUUUCGCGCCUAGAAUUUGUAUUUUCUACUCAGCUGUCGUUUCUAAAGUUUUCUCUGAUCGGUUAAGAUAUAACAAAUAUGUGAAGUUUAAAUAGUAUAUUCGAGUAAUACACAACAAAUCAACGUCAGAAGACAUUCAAGUUUAAAAAAUGGAGUCACGCCGGAGAAGAGGUAUGUUUAAUCUCUUAUCAUUUAGAUCGGUGCCUUUUCUUUAUUAAAAUUAAUAGGUUUAAAGUUAAAUAAUGUAUACUUUAUCUUUUGUAACUAUUUUUUAUUUUCGAUAAUAAUUGUAUUUUUAGUAAACAAAUAAUGUUAUGUGAUGAAAAAUUCACAUUGGGCAGAACUUUUUUUAAAUUAAGAUCAUUUUCGCAGAGUUAGACGAUGAAGCCAUCGGUAAAUUGUUAGAAGAUUCCGAUAUUGUACAGACUAAGCAGAUAAUUAAAAAUAGAAGAGGGAGAGCAACUAUCAGUCUUCCAACUAAGAGCCGCCGCACUUCUGAGGCUAAACAUAUGCCUGUGUACGAAGCUAAACAGUCCAGGUGCAGGUCCUGCCAUUACAACAAAACACGAUUUAAAUGUAGUUCUUGCCUUAUAAACUUGUGCUUAACUAAACAAAGGAAUUGUUUUGCUGCUUUCCAUACUUAACUAAGUAUUUUUUUUUGGAAUUGAUUUUUUAAAGUUCAUCGAUAUUGAGAGAAAGUUUUUUGGUUGACUUGAUUAACUAUUCUUAAGGCCAAAGAUGGUGCAAUAAAAGUAGAUUGAUUAAUUAUUAGUAAUAAGUAAAUGAAGAUGUGAAAGUUCAAGACUGAUAACGAAUACAUAAUAAAUAACAUAAACAGU